AUACGAAGGGGGCUAGCGUCGUUCGGAAUCACUGGGCGUAAAGCGCGCGUAGGUGGAUCAAUUAGUUGAGGGUGAAAUCCCGGGGCUCAACCUCGGAACUGCCUUCAAUACUGUUGAUCUUGAGACCGAGAGAGGUGAGUGGAAUUCCUAGUGUAGAGGUGAAAUUCGUAGAUAUUAGGAAGAACACCAGUGGCGAAGGCGGCUCACUGGCUCGGUACUGACGCUGAGGUGCGAAAGCGUGGGUAGCAAACGGGAUUAGAUACCCUAGUAGUCC
rnacentral:rRNA from 1 species